GCAGACGCCCACGGCCGUGCCCGUGCUGCCCAAACACAGCGCUGACCUUUUACUGCAGUUCUAUCGCCCUGCAAACUCGGCUCUACUUUGUCACCUACCGCCACUCGAAGGCCUCUGCGCGCUUUGUUGCGAGCUUUUCGCAACCACAGAUCGAGUUUGAAAGUCUAGAGUCCACCACCUUCAUAUCCGGGUAGAAAGAAGUGGGAAGUCAAACCACCACAGGACACAGCCCCUACCUGGAGAUCCUCUGAUCAAGCACUAAUCAAAUCCAGCCUUGGAAAUCAACUUAUUUUUCCCUCGGGGAAUAAAACAGCUUUAUAAUCAAAACCCGAAGUGACAAAAACUAAAUUUGCUGCUUAUUUAAAUAGACAUCUGCUUGCAGUGUGUAAAUGAACAAAUAAAAUUACUUUGGGUUAAUUACGUGUUGGCGACUAGGAAACAUUUUAGCACAUGUAAAAUAUAGAUAAUUACUUUCAUAUUGAAUAAGAGAUACACCAGCUUUUGCCUUUGCAUUGUUAAUAUGGAAACUGAGUAUGUUUUAAUAAGACACUCCAAGUUCCUGCUCAGGGUUACAUUUGUCAUUAAUAUUCUGCUGUAAUAGCUGUACCCUAAGCAUAUUUUUCUCUUGAUAGGCCAUAAGGAAUGCUCUGUUUGCACACAUUUAGGUAGUAAUUCUGAUAUAUUAUUUGCACGUCUGCUGGUGGAAUUGUACCCUGCAUCAAUGGCUGGACAAUCUAAGAAAAACACUCACUGUGUAAGUGCAUGUAUGCAUAACACAAAGCAGUGAGCAUGCCUGGGGAGGUUUUUUUUUUUUUUUUUUUUUUUUUAAAUAAUCACUUCUUUCCUCCUUUUUCCUUAGCUAUUUAGGUAGCAUUUCUUUUUUUUUCUCUAGGUGGAACAUUUCUAUAGCUGAUUUAAUACUUAGGGUGCAAAAGGUCCAAAAUAUACCCAGAGGUUUUGAAUACCUACCUAGAAGGGAGUGUUUCUAAGACAGUCUGUAUUUGCUUUGUGUUGUGCCGAGGAGCUUUGUCUUCUGGAGCAGCACUCACGGCUACAGGGCCAGCUGCAGUCUUAAGUAUUCCAGGAUGUAAGUCUGCAAUGUUCCCAAUUAAGCACAGAAAUAUAACAACUUCAUCUUCUAUUACUAUUACAAGAAAGUGACUAACAGAAAGAGGACUGUAAGAGAAUCAAAAUUGAUACCUUGAGGAGAAAGGAUUUUAGGUAAGGUAACCUAAGAAAUCCAGUUCUUUCACAAAUGCCUCCUGGUGUCUGUGGGUCCAUCCAGCUCUUUAGACUGGACACAACUGAGACUCCCCCAGUCUUGGUUGUAUGUUCCUUUACACAACCUUCUUCCUGAGCUGAUGGGAUAGAGCUCACAAUUAUUUGUGGAGAUGCGGCUUAUCUUAACUGUUCCUUUCCCUCCCUUCUUGUCUUCCCUGACAGCUCCAAUUAAGAUACACAACUAUACUCAAAUGUAAACAUCCCACUAGCCAUAUCAACCUAAUGUAUUCAUGAAUUACUGAGCAGUUCCAAAGUCACAGCAGGAUAUUAAAAAGGCCAUUUUGUACAAAACAAGAACAGAGCCAGCUGUAAGCUCCACAAAAAAUAAACCUGCUUUUUUCCUACUUAAAUACUCCUUGAUGUCAUUUACUCUUUUUUCAGACCAUAACUAAUCAUUUAGUAGCAUUUCUUACUAUUAAACAACAUCACUUUAAAUUUGAUAGACACCUUUACUGAUCCAUAUUCAAUAAAUAUUAUAUUACUGUAA